rnacentral:rRNA from 1 species
UACGGAGGGUGCGAGCGUUGUUCGGAAUCACUGGGCGUAAAGGGCGUGUAGGCGGUCCGCUAAGUCUGAUGUGAAAGCCCGGGGCUCACCCCCGGAAGUGCAUUGGAAACUGGCGGACUCGAGUCCCGGAGAGGAGAGUGGAAUUCCUGGUGUAGCGGUGAAAUGCGCAGAUAUCAGGAAGAACACCCGUGGCGAAGGCGGUUCUCUGGGACGGUACUGACGCUGAGACGCGAAAGCGUGGGGAGCGAACAGG